rfam:Cavia porcellus supercont2_9 genomic scaffold, whole genome shotgun sequence.
GGGGACUUAGCUCAGUGGCAUAAGCACCUGCCUUGCAAGCAGGCGGUUGUGCGUUCAAUCCCCG